rnacentral:rRNA from 1 species
GGAGGGGUCCGCGUCCUAUUAGCUAGUUGGUGAGGUAACGGCCCACCAAGGCAACGAUGGGUAGCGGGUGUGAGAGCACGACCCGCAUCACUGGGACUGAGAACUGCCCAGACACCUACGGGUGGCUGCAGUCGAGAAUCUUCGGCAAUGGGCGAAAGCCUGACCGAGCGACGCCGCGUGCGGGAUGAAGGCCCUCGGGUUGUAAACCGCUGUCAGUGGGGAGGAAGGCUCUGUGAAGAGCAGGGUUUGACCUAUCCGCAGAGGAAGUCCGGGCUAAGUUCGUGCCAGCAGCCGCGGUAACACGAACCGGACGAACGUUAUUCGGAAUCACUGGGCUUAAAGGGUGCGUAGGCGGCCUGACAAGUUGGGUGUGAAAUCCCUCGGCUUAACCGAGGAAUUGCGCUCAAAACUGUUGGGCUUGAGGGAGUUAGAGGUAAGCGGAACUUAGGGUGGAGCGGUGAAAUGCGUUGAUAUCCUAAGGAACACCAGUGGCGAAAGCGGCUUACUGGAGCUCUUCUGACGCUGAGGCACGAAAGCUAGGGGAGCGAACGGGAUUAGAUACCCCGGUAGUCCUAGCCGUAAACGAUAAGCACUGGAUCGGAGGACACUCCAUAGUCUUCUGGUCGUAGCGAAAGUGUUAA